rnacentral:rRNA from 1 species
UACGGAGGGGGCUAGCGUUGUUCGGAAUUACUGGGCGUAAAGCGCACGUAGGCGGCUUUGUAAGUUAGAGGUGAAAGCCCGGAGCUCAACUCCGGAAUUGCCUUUAAGACUGCAUCGCUAGAAUUGUGGAGAGGUGAGUGGAAUUCCGAGUGUAGAGGUGAAAUUCGUAGAUAUUCGGAAGAACACCAGUGGCGAAGGCGACUCACUGGACACAUAUUGACGCUGAGGUGGCGAAAGCGUGGGGAGCAAACAGG